rnacentral:rRNA from 1 species
UACAGAGGUGGCAAGCGUUGUUCGGAAUUACUGGGCGUAAAGGGCUCGUAGGCGGUCUGUUGCGUCAGGAGUGAAAACUCGGGGCUUAACCCCGAGCCUGCUUCUGAUACGGGCAGACUAGAGGUAUGCAGGGGAGAACGGAAUUCCUGGUGUAGCGGUGAAAUGCGCAGAUAUCAGGAGGAACACCGGUGGCGAAGGCGGUUCUCUGGGCAUUACCUGACGCUGAGGAGCGAAAGUGUGGGGAGCGAACAGG